UACGAAGGGGGCAAGCGUUGUUCGGAAUUACUGGGCGUAAAGGGCGCGUAGGCGGUGCACUAAGUCAGGCGUGAAAGCCCUGGGCUCAACCCGGGAAUUGCGCUUGAUACUGGUGCGCUUGAAUCCAGGAGAGGUUGGUGGAAUUCCCAGUGUAGAGGUGAAAUUCGUAGAGAUUGGGAAGGACACCGGUGGCGAAGGCGGCCAACUGGACUGGUAUUGACGCUGAGGCGCGAAAGCGUGGGGAGCAAACAGG
rnacentral:rRNA from 1 species